GGUCAAGUGAAGAAGCGCAUACGGUGGAUGCCUUGGCAGUCAGAGGCGAUGAAAGACGUGGUAGCCUGCGAAAAGCUUCGGGGAGUCGGCAAACAGACUUUGAUCCGGAGAUCUCUGAAUGGGGGAACCCACCUAGGAUAACCUAGGUAUCUUGUACUGAAUCCAUAGGUGCAAGAGGCGAACCAGGGGAACUGAAACAUCUAAGUACCCUGAGGAAAAGAAAUCAACCGAGAUUCCCUUAGUAGUGGCGAGCGAACGGGGAUUAGCCCUUAAGCUUCAUUGAUUUUAGCGGAACGCUCUGGAAAGUGCGGCCAUAGUGGGUGAUAGCCCCGUACGCGAAAGGAUCUUUGAAGUGAAAUCGAGUAGGACGGAGCACGAGAAACUUUGUCUGAACAUGGGGGGACCAUCCUCCAAGGCUAAAUACUACUGACUGACCGAUAGUGAACCAGUACCGUGAGGGAAAGGCGAAAAGAACCCCGGAGAGGGGAGUGAAAUAGAACCUGAAACCGUAUGCGUACAAGCAGUGGGAGCCUACUUGUUAGGUGACUGCGUACCUUUUGUAUAAUGGGUCAGCGACUUAUAUUCAGUGGCAAGCUUAACCGUAUAGGGUAGGCGUAGCGAAAGCGAGUCUUAAUAGGGCGUUUAGUCGCUGGGUAUAGACCCGAAACCGGGCGAUCUAUCCAUGAGCAGGUUGAAGGUUAGGUAACACUGACUGGAGGACCGAACCCACUCCCGUUGAAAAGGUAGGGGAUGACUUGUGGAUCGGAGUGAAAGGCUAAUCAAGCUCGGAGAUAGCUGGUUCUCCUCGAAAGCUAUUUAGGUAGCGCCUCAUGUAUCACUCUGGGGGGUAGAGCACUGUUUCGGCUAGGGGGUCAUCCCGACUUACCAAACCGAUGCAAACUCCGAAUACCCAGAAGUGCCGAGCAUGGGAGACACACGGCGGGUGCUAACGUCCGUCGUGAAAAGGGAAACAACCCAGACCGCCAGCUAAGGUCCCAAAGUUGUGGUUAAGUGGUAAACGAUGUGGGAAGGCUUAGACAGCUAGGAGGUUGGCUUAGAAGCAGCCACCCUUUAAAGAAAGCGUAAUAGCUCACUAGUCGAGUCGGCCUGCGCGGAAGAUGUAACGGGGCUCAAACCACACACCGAAGCUGCGGGUGUCACGCAAGUGACGCGGUAGAGGAGCGUUCUGUAAGCCUGUGAAGGUGAGUUGAGAAGCUUGCUGGAGGUAUCAGAAGUGCGAAUGCUGACAUGAGUAACGACAAUGGGUGUGAAAAACACCCACGCCGAAAGACCAAGGGUUCCUGCGCAACGUUAAUCGACGCAGGGUUAGUCGGUUCCUAAGGCGAGGCUGAAAAGCGUAGUCGAUGGGAAACAGGUUAAUAUUCCUGUACUUCUGGUUACUGCGAUGGAGGGACGGAGAAGGCUAGGCCAGCUUGGCGUUGGUUGUCCAAGUUUAAGGUGGUAGGCUGAAAUCUUAGGUAAAUCCGGGGUUUCAAGGCCGAGAGCUGAUGACGAGUCGUCUUUUAGAUGACGAAGUGGUUGAUGCCAUGCUUCCAAGAAAAGCUUCUAAGCUUCAGGUAACCAGGAACCGUACCCCAAACCGACACAGGUGGUCGGGUAGAGAAUACCAAGGCGCUUGAGAGAACUCGGGUGAAGGAACUAGGCAAAAUGGCACCGUAACUUCGGGAGAAGGUGCGCCGGCUAGGGUGAAGGAUUUACUCCGUAAGCUCUGGCUGGUCGAAGAUACCAGGCCGCUGCGACUGUUUAUUAAAAACACAGCACUCUGCAAACACGAAAGUGGACGUAUAGGGUGUGACGCCUGCCCGGUGCCGGAAGGUUAAUUGAUGGGGUUAGCGCAAGCGAAGCUCUUGAUCGAAGCCCCGGUAAACGGCGGCCGUAACUAUAACGGUCCUAAGGUAGCGAAAUUCCUUGUCGGGUAAGUUCCGACCUGCACGAAUGGCGUAACGAUGGCGGCGCUGUCUCCACCCGAGACUCAGUGAAAUUGAAAUCGCUGUGAAGAUGCAGUGUAUCCGCGGCUAGACGGAAAGACCCCGUGAACCUUUACUGUAGCUUUGCACUGGACUUUGAGCCUGCUUGUGUAGGAUAGGUGGGAGGCUUUGAAGCGUGGACGCCAGUUCGCGUGGAGCCAUCCUUGAAAUACCACCCUGGCAUGCUU
rnacentral:rRNA from 1 species